GACGAACGCUGGCGGCGUGCUUAACACAUGCAAGUCGAACGGUAAGGCUCCAGCUUGCUGGGGUACACGAGUGGCGAACGGGUGAGUAACACGUGGGUGACCUGCCCUGCACUUCGGGAUAAGCCUGGGAAACUGGGUCUAAUACCGGAUAGGACCGCACCGUGAGGGUGUGGUGGAAAGUUUUUUCGGUGUGGGAUGGGCCCGCGGCCUAUCAGCUUGUUGGUGGGGUAAUGGCCUACCAAGGCGGCGACGGGUAGCCGGCCUGAGAGGGUGGACGGCCACAUUGGGACUGAGACACGGCCCAGACUCCUACGGGAGGCAGCAGUGGGGAAUAUUGCACAAUGGGCGGAAGCCUGAUGCAGCGACGCCGCGUGGGGGAUGACGGCCUUCGGGUUGUAAACUCCUUUCACCAUCGACGAAGGGUUUCUGACGGUAGAUGGAGAAGAAGCACCGGCUAACUACGUGCCAGCAGCCGCGGUAAUACGUAGGGUGCGAGCGUUGUCCGGAAUUACUGGGCGUAAAGAGCUCGUAGGUGGUUUGUCGCGUCGUCUGUGAAAUUCCGGGGCUUAACUCCGGGCGUGCAGGCGAUACGGGCAUAACUUGAGUACUGUAGGGGAGACUGGAAUUCCUGGUGUAGCGGUGAAAUGCGCAGAUAUCAGGAGGAACACCGGUGGCGAAGGCGGGUCUCUGGGCAGUAACUGACGCUGAGGAGCGAAAGCAUGGGGAGCGAACAGGAUUAGAUACCCUGGUAGUCCAUGCCGUAAACGGUGGGCGCUAGGUGUGGGUUUCCUUCCACGGGAUCCGUGCCGUAGCUAACGCAUUAAGCGCCCCGCCUGGGGAGUACGGCCGCAAGGCUAAAACUCAAAGGAAUUGACGAGGGCCCGCACAAGCGGCGGAGCAUGUGGAUUAAUUCGAUGCAACGCGAAGAACCUUACCUGGGCUUGACAUAUACAGGAUCGCGCCAGAGAUGGUGUUUCCCUUGUGGCUUGUAUACAGGUGGUGCAUGGUUGUCGUCAGCUCGUGUCGUGAGAUGUUGGGUUAAGUCCCGCAACGAGCGCAACCCUUGUCUUAUGUUGCCAGCACGUUGUGGUGGGGACUCGUAAGAAACUGCCGGGGUUAACUCGGAGGAAGGUGGGGAUGACGUCAAAUCAUCAUGCCCCUUAUGUCCAGGGCUUCACACAUGCUACAAUGGUCGGUACAGUGGGUUGCCAGUCCGUGAGGGCGAGCUAAUCCCGCAAAGCCGGUCUCAGUUCGGAUCGGGGUCUGCAACUCGACCCCGUGAAGUCGGAGUCGCUAGUAAUCGCAGAUCAGCAACGCUGCGGUGAAUACGUUCCCGGGCCU
rnacentral:rRNA from 1 species